UCGGGAAUAUUGCGCAAUGGAGGCAACUCUGACGCAGUGACGCCGCGUAUAGGAAGAAGGUUUUCGGAUUGUAAACUAUUGUCCACAGGGAAGAAAAGGACUGUACCUGUGAAGAAAGCUCCGGCUAACUACGUGCCAGCAGCCGCGGUAAUACGUAGGGAGCAAGCGUUAUCCGGAUUUAUUGGGUGUAAAGGGUGCGUAGACGGGAUAACAAGUUAGUUGUGAAAACCCUCGGCUCAACUGAGGAACUGCAACUAAAACUAUUAUUCUUGAGUGCAGGAGGGGAAAGUGGAAUUCCUAGUGUAGCGGUGAAAUGCGUAGAUAUUAGGAAGAACACCAGUGGCGAAGGCGACUUUCUGGACUGUAACUGACGUUGAGGCACGAAAGUGUGGGGAGCAAACAGGAUUAGAUACC
rnacentral:rRNA from 1 species